rfam:Macaca mulatta chromosome 7, whole genome shotgun sequence.
UAUUAGGUUGGUGCAAAAGUAAUUGAAGUUUUUGCCAUUAAAAGUAACGCCAAGAACUGCAGUUACUUUUGCACCAACCUAAUA